GACGCACGAGAAACAGAGUCCUGGAUUCCCCUCAUCUCUCCCAAAUCGCCGCCAUCCAUCGCCUCGUAUCCCUCCUCCGACCCACCUCGCCGCCGGCCCUCCCCCUCCGCUCCUCCCACCUCGCAGCUCCAGUGGCUGCCGGAUCCGCCCAAUCCCAACCCACUCAUCCCUCUCGCGUCCCAUCUCCCUCUCUUCACGCGGCUCCUUCUGCGCCACCUGCGGCGGUUGACUCAGGCGACGUCCGGCGAACCCCGCCACCGUGAAGCACAGCCUGAGGCGCCCUCGCACCGCGGCGCCCUCCCAUCCGGUUAGAUCCGGCGCUCGCGGUCACCAAAGCCCACCCGCGACCCUCCCCCCAUGGCUAUUAGGGUUUCAGGUGUCGGCUCCGGUGGCCGUCGUCCACCUCCCGUCCGGGAGGAACCGCCAGUGGACAUCCUUGCAGCUGCUCGGGACAAAGCAGCCAUGGAGCUUCCUCCUGCUCCUCUGGCCUCGGGCGAGUUGGUCCACUCCUCCCCUCUGCUCUGGUUCGUAGCACAUCAGGACCAGUAGUGGCUUCAAAUUAACCCCGAGUUGCAUAUUCUUUCUAGGGCAACAACAUUGUAGGGAACGAUUGUCUUUCUAGUAAGCUAUUCUGAAGCCCAUCUACGUCUUGGAGCAGCAACCAGUGUGUUUGAGGCUAAUUACUAAAUAAAUCUAACGAUAGUCCAUGUGGCGGCGGAGGUGUAGCGAUGGUAGUUUGAAGCAGAUUAGGCGGCCGCAAGCGUCUUUGGCGCCAAGGCUGUUGAGUGAAGGAACUGGUCGUGUGGCGAUUCGUUUUCUAUUCUCCAUCCUUUAAGGUCAUAACAGAAGAAAGAACUAUGUGUUGGAACCGCAGCGCUCUAGCUACCUCUCCUCUCACUCAAACGGAGGUGGAAGAAGAAGAACAGUGCACACAAGCCGGCCGGCGCACGAACGCCCCAAUCCUUUUCUUCCUUACAAUGGCUACAUGGCUACACCCGAUUCACGCAACCAGCACAAAGGCAGGGGAUUUAUAUCCGGUCUAGCACAGACGCACGCACAGCACUAACCCCGGCCACCACGCACGCACGCCUACCGGCCACCUACCUGCUGACUCCUACAUGCAUGCACGAUCUGUCCGGCCGCGCGCAUAGCGCGCCACACUACAAGCACUACACCACCAGCUCAAACAGAUUGACUGGCUCCCCGCUACUCCCGCUCAGCUGGACGCGGCCACACACCGGCCUCCGGCUUGAGCCUAGACACACAUAUGCGGCACACAUACGUGCACCUAUGCGCCAUCCACACACACAUGGCUUAUUGCCAACACUAUGCAAUUGACUUGAUCACUAUUGUUUUAUCUAGAAAAAAAAUAUGUUUUGUACGCGUGUAUUGAUGAGUACUCCUCUUGACUCGAUUGUGUUGCACGGAGUGAAAGGAAAGCAUCCAGUUGGGGUGGUCUGCAGCUCUGAUCACCUCCAGCAGCACCACAUAAUCAAAGUUCCAAACAGUAGUGCUGCACUUCUGCCUCCAGCCAGCAUUUCACUUUCAUGUUUAUAGGUGGCUUAACAUGAUCAUUUGAUGUGUAUCUUAUGUAGAAGAUUUGAAUGAUGUACGUGUUUAUUUCAGAAAAAAUUUCUUAAUGACGCCUUGCAUAUAUACAAGACAGAUAUUCAUGUACAUUAGCUUUAGUUUUGUUUGUUAACUAGAAACUGUGGUUUCCUUUUUUAACCGAAAUCACUAAAGCAUGGGAUGCAUUUGGGGUUUCCAGAUAGCUAAUAUUAGGAGCACACAAGAUUUAGACUCCUGCUAUGUAAUUAAAGGAAAUCAGAACAUUCACCAAUAUCUUCUGUAUAUUUUCUAGCCUUGGGUUCCUGACUUUUUCAUACAAAUUAUAAUUUGGAAACUUUAUUUAUAGGAAUGAUAAAUAGUAUGUACAAAUGCCUUUACUAAAAUUAAAUUUACUUUAGCCACAUGGAAGCCAACACAAUAUCACAUGUAAUAUUUCUCAGUUAGUCAAAAGUAUGCUUCUUUUAAAAUUUAUGGUUCUAAUAUUGUUUUUCUCACAUAAAUAUGUUCCAGUUAUAUAUGGUAAACUAAAACUGUCUAGCCUAUGCAGAAGCACGGGUUAAUGACUAGUCUAGCUAACUCGGGGAUAAAUUCAUUGAGCCAGAUGUAAAGUUGCCAAGGUAGUAACUAGUACACAUAGAACAUGAGGAAUAUAGGUUGCUCUUCUUUUAUUAAGUACGAAUUGAUCUUGAUGAAGUUUACUUCUUUUGCACUGUUCUAGAGAUGCAUGAGACACCUGUAACCUUUUUCCCUUGGUUUUGAAGCUACACGCACGAACUCGAUGUACGGUGACUCCAUGGAGCAAGUCGAGUUCGUGGAGCAAGUCAUGGACGAUGCCAUGGAAGUUUGACUGUAGGUGUACAGAAUUAGCAAUGGAUCUCUAGGCUGGUGAUGACUAUGUAAAUUUGUUUCAGUGGAUCUGGGGCUGUAGUUUUGUUCCAAAGCGUGUUUCAGAUGACUAAAACCGUUUUGGCUCAGUUUGCUAACUAAAUGGAGAAGAGAAAAGAAGUGGCUGUGUCAUAUAUUGUGGCGUCCUGAUUAGUCAUCAAUGACAACUAACACUCAUGCCGGUAUCUUUUCACAAUCAUAAUAGGGACGUAGCUCUUGCUAUAGUUGUAAGUUGUGAUCCUAAAUUUAAACAUGAUGAUGCUAAAAUGACAAAUGAAUUCUUGGUAGUGCAUGUCGAUAUGGCACUUGUGAAAACUGAAGAUUUGGUACGGAGUCGCGAAAGCUGCAAUACUCUCGAUAAUGCAGAAAAAAAAGAUUGCAUGGCCUUCAACCUUUAUUCAAAAGAUAUAUGGAUGAUUAUAAUGGUGCGUGGCAAGUAUAUUGCAAUGACGAUGAUGUUCCGGUUCAUGAUGAUAAUGAUGUUCCGGUCCAUGAUGAUGAUGAUGGAUGCUAUCAGUUUUAGUUAAGUUGUAGGGAUGAUGUUUCUGUCGGAUGGUGUUCCCCGGUUAAGUUUAGUUAAGUUGUAGGGAUGUUGAAGGAUGCUUUCUAUUUAAGUUUCGCUGUCAAGAAAAUAUUUAGGUUAUGCAUCACAUUUCGAUGAUGUUUCCCUUGUAAUAUCAACCAUUGUAAUCCAACAGCUUUAUCCAAUAUAUGAUUUCUUUCUCUAA